GCACGUCCCCUAUCUUUUCCAAUAGGGCAGUUAACUUUUGGCGGUGGCAUUUAGGGGUAUCCCGAGGAGAGUAUUGAGCAUAGCAAUGGCAUAUACGUUUAUCUCCGUCCCUCGUGCGAUGUGUUUUUAUCGCAUUGUGUUUUUUAUCUCAUGGUGCAACUGGGCACACUUACUGCAUUAUUCAAACACUACCAUUUUGUACACUGUACUCCCAAAUUGACGUACUUCCGGCACUCAGAAAAUGUACACGUACAUUCACUGUUUCGACUUGCUGCAUUGGUUUGCAGUCCUGCGGAGUGUGGUUAUUUAACACCGUCUUUAAUAGCUCCAUAGCUAACAGGCAAAUUUUUGAUUGUCCAAAGCUCAAAAGGCUUGCUUUCGCACAAAAAGGCUUUUUUGUUU
rnacentral:sRNA from 12 species